CCUACGGGUGACAGCAGUGGGGAAUAUUGCACAAUGGGGGGAACCCUGAUGCAGCGACGCCGCGUGAAGGAAGAAGGCUUUCGGGUUGUAAACUUCUUUUAAGAGGGAAGAGCAGAAGACGGUACCUCUUGAAUAAGCCACGGCUAACUACGUGCCAGCAGCUGCGGUAAUACGUAGGUGGCAAGCGUUAUCCGGAUUUACUGGGUGUAAAGGGAGCGUAGACGGCAGCGCAAGUCUGGAGUGAAAUCCCAUGGCUUAACCAUGGAACUGCUUUGGAAACUGUGCAGCUGGAGUGCAGGAGAGGUAAGCGGAAUUCCUAGUGUAGCGGUGAAAUGCGUAGAUAUUAGGAGGAACACCAGUGGCGAAGGCGGCUUACUGGACUGUAACUGACGUUGAGGCUCGAAAGCGUGGGGAGCAAACAGGAUUAGAUACCCCAGUAGUC
rnacentral:rRNA from 1 species